GGAGGGCAAAGAAGAUCUUCAAGAAGUGCAUCCACCUGGAUGUGAUGGGGAGUAAGCAUUAAGCACAUGGAUGCAGCUCUACUAAUUUACCGUCCACCUUGGGAACUUCAUGGAUUCUGGGUGUUGCCAGGUGGUUUAGCAAGAAAAAUAUCACCCCUCUUGGAUUCCGGCUGAUAGCUCUAUUUUAAGCACUAUCCCCAUGGGGCAAAUAUUGGACGUGCACUUUAAUUCUUUGCUGAUAUGUUUUCGUUGUGAAAAAUAUUGCUCAGCUGAGUCAUGGGGAGAAGAAAUAUGUCUCAUCACAGAGUUAGUUCUCACACUUGGGACUUAUGUCACGGACAACGUCAUUCCAUCAGGACACAUUCGCUGCGGGCACCUCUCCAGCAAGAUGGGAAGCUGCAUUUAUCCUGUUGGGUGCAUGCAGAAUAGGUGUUUUUUUGGCAAUAAAUCCAGUGCCAGUGCCUCACUGGAGGAUUUCGUUUCUGUGGUAGGAGGAAUCUCAUUAACACGAGCUUCAGAGGAAUCCAGCACUGCCAGCCAGAAGACAAAUGCAGCAAUGCUGUCGUCAUUUAUCAAAUGGAGAAUGACCUUUGCUAUCCAUUAGGAUGAAAUGAAAAGCUUUGGGCUUUAACUUUGUUAAGAUGCACAUGGCUGUCUUUUCAGAUCUCUGAGUUGGUGCAUUGCUGAGUUUAAUCAAAUUGUGCAUUUUGCUAGUGCUUAAGCAGUAUUGUUAUAUAAUUCAAUCUCCAUGUGUUUUUGAGGCAGCAGGCAGAAGAAUUACACUGAAACCAGAUGCAAAACUGUCCUACUGUAGUCAGUGGCUUAGGAGGAAGAAGGGGCUUGGGUCCAAGUGCCAGCCUAGUGUUUGUAGGUCUGGUAUGAUUUGAGUUACCUCUGGUCAAAAUUAGAUAUGUGUGCCUAUAAAGAUGUUUGAGUAGGCACGUGUGUCCUUGGGAAAGCUCAGCUGAAGGAGGAUCCUCCUUGCUCACAGCAAAGACUCCAACAGUCAUCCACCAGCUGCCCCUACGUAGGCAUCUCACGGAUCCUCCCCAGCUCCUUGGCCACCAUCCCAACUGCAGCUGUCCCAACUCUUCCUGCUAUUUUUUAGUCAUAGGGAAACUUACCUUCGUCCUUCCGGUAGGGUGAGCUGAUAACGUGGGAUCAUCCAUGCCCUGGACAUCUCUUGGUGUCCUCACACCAAAACCAAAUCUUUUUUUCUUCCUGACCCUUCAGUAUUUCUCUUUUCCCGUUGACCCACAAGGUGAAGACCCUUCUGCUGAGCAAUGCAGGCAGGCACUGAGAUGGUGCCUGCAACCUCCCAGAGUCCAUGUGGUUAUGUGCAUGAGGUCGGGUGAAGUCCAUUGGAUGUUACACCUUAUGGGCUUCUCCACGUGGUGGAACUGCGAAAUUACGAUUGGGUCUACAGCUGGAAAACCUCCUGUGUCCACAGACUGUAAUCCAACCUGCGUUUGCUUCAGCACAACUCUGUGUGGCUGCCUGGUGUAAGACAAAAAAAAGAUCUUCUCAUUUUUUUUUUCCUGCUUGCUGUAUCUGCUUAUUUACAAACAUAAAUUAAAUCUAGUUAGAGCAUGUGCC
ensembl:lncRNA